rnacentral:rRNA from 1 species
AAAACGACUCUCGGCAACGGAUAUCUCGGCUCUCGCAUCGAUGAAGAACGUAGCCGAAAUGCGAUACCGUGGUGUGAAUUGCAAGAAUCCCAGUGAACCUAUCGAGUCUUUGAACAGCUAAGUUGCGCCCCCAAGCCUUCUGGCCGAGGGCACGUCAUAGCCUGGG